AUUGAACGCUGGCGGCAGGCCUAACACAUGCGAGUCGAGCGGAUGAAGGGAGCUUGCUCCUGGAUUCAGCGGCGGACGGGUGAGUAAUGCCUAGGAAUCUGCCUGGUAGUGGGGGAUAACGUCCGGAAACGGGCGCUAAUACCGCAUACGUCCUGAGGGAGAAAGUGGGGGAUCUUCGGACCUCACGCUAUCAGAUGAGCCUAGGUCGGAUUAGCUAGUUGGUGGGGUAAAGGCCUACCAAGGCGACGAUCCGUAACUGGUCUGAGAGGAUGAUCAGUCACACUGGAACUGAGCCACGGUCCAGACUCCUACGGGAGGCAGCAGUGGGGAAUAUUGGACAAUGGGCGAAAGCCUGAUCCAGCCAUGCCGCGUGUGUGAAGAAGGUCUUCGGAUUGUAAAGCACUUUAAGUUGGGAGGAAGGGCAGUAAGUUAAUACCUUGCUGUUUUGACGUUACCAACAGAAUAAGCACCGGCUAACUUCGUG
rnacentral:rRNA from 1 species